UAGGGAAUCUUCGGCAAUGGACGAAAGUCUGACCGAGCAACGCCGCGUGAGUGAAGAAGGUUUUCGGAUCGUAAAACUCUGUUGGUAGAGAAGAACGUUGGUGAGAGUGGAAAGCUCAUCAAGUAACGGUAACUACCCAGAAAGGGACGGCUAACUACGUGUCAG
rnacentral:rRNA from 1 species